GACGAACGCUGGCGGCGUGCUUAACACAUGCAAGUCGAACGGAAAGGCCCUGCUUUUGUGGGGUGCUCGAGUGGCGAACGGGUGAGUAACACGUGAGUAACCUGCCCUUGACUUUGGGAUAACUUCAGGAAACUGGGGCUAAUACCGGAUAGGAGCUCCUGCUGCAUGGUGGGGGUUGGAAAGUUUCGGCGGUUGGGGAUGGACUCGCGGCUUAUCAGCUUGUUGGUGGGGUAGUGGCUUACCAAGGCUUUGACGGGUAGCCGGCCUGAGAGGGUGACCGGCCACAUGGGGACUGAGAUACGGCCCAGACUCCUACGGGAGGCAGCAGUGGGGAAUAUUGAACAAUGGGCGGAAGCCUGAUGCAGCAACGCCGCGUGCGGGAUGACGGCCUUCGGGUUGUAAACCGCUUUCGCCUGUGACGAAGCGUGAGUGACGGUAAUGGGUAAAGAAGCACCGGCUAACUACGU
rnacentral:rRNA from 1 species